CUGAUGUAACAGCCUUGGGAAAGAGGUUGCAGUGAAAAGCUGGUCCUGCUGUGGUGGAGAGAAUGGAGGAAAGAUAAUAAAAGGCCAAACCUUUGCUCCAACUUUCUCCUUAGCUUCCCUUUGGAUCUGGAAAGCUGGGGACCCACACGGCAGAGCCAUGGUACUGGAGGAGCCAUUAACAAAGCUUUCAAUAAACCUCUCUUUCUUGAAGUUACCUGAGAAUGGAUCCAUUCCCUGCAACUGAAGAUUCUAAGGAACUGGGUUUCUCAGUAUACAAUGGGAAUGGUUGGGAGGAGGUAAAGAGUAGAAGACAGUAUCAAGAAUCCAGAGCCCAGCACCUGUAGUCCUAACUAUUCAGAUUCCUUGAGCCCAGGAGUUUGAGUCCAGCCUGGACAACAUAUUGAGACCCCCAUCUCUCUAAAAAAAAAGAGAAAGAAAGAAGGAAAGAAAAAAAGAAAGAAAGAAAGAAAGAAAGAAAGAAAGAAAGAAAGAAAGAAAGAGAAAGAAAGAAGGAAAGAAGGAAAGAAGGAAAGAAAGAAAGAAAGAGAAAGAAAGAAAAGAAGAUUGUAGCUAGGGGGAGAGUAGGUGAAAAGAUGAACAACAUGACCGGGAAGAUUUCCUAAUCUCACCACAGCCUGGCUCUACCUUAAGUCUUUAAUAAAAGCUUGACUGAAGGUACCAAGGUGUGCUGAAGUGGAAGCAAAGUUCUCCAAAGUCCAGCAUGGUAGACAUCAGUGGUGGUAACCAAGGACAGACCCCAAGGCAAGGUGAACCUCAAAAAUGGAACCUCAAGUCUAUGCAGUCCAGCUGCCCUCCCCACCAGAAAGUCCUUGUUCCAGCCCAACAUCAGUGCCUCUGAGUUUGUUUACUAGAAACAAAGGAAGAAUUUCCUUGUAAAAAUAUAGACAGAGUAGUCCCUGGCUUUCUCCUCUUGCAGGAAGGAUGGAUUCUCCCAUUCCAUACCAUCUUUCCCCCACACUGGCCCCAGAAAUACUUAAUUCAACUAUGUGAAAAUAAAGAUUGUUUUUGGUUUGAGGGCAUAGGGAUCCAUUUAUCCUUAUUCUUUAUGAGGCACUAAAUUAGCUUUGUAUGUUAUUAAAUGUGUCUCGUCAAUGCUGUUGGCAUUGUUUCAUUUUAA